rnacentral:rRNA from 1 species
UACGGAGGGUGCAAGCGUUAUCCGGAUUCACUGGGUUUAAAGGGUGCGUAGGCGGAUAAGUAAGUCCGUGGUGAAAUCCUGCAGCUUAACUGCAGAACUGCCGUGGAUACUAUUUAUCUUGAAUGUCGUGGAGGUUAGCAGAAUAUGUCAUGUAGCGGUGAAAUGCUUAGAUAUGACAUAGAAUACCCAUUGCGAAGGCAGCUAACUACGCGAUAAUUGACGCUGAGGAGCGAAAGCGUGGGGAGCGAACAGG